CUGGCGGCGUGCCUAAUACAUGCAAGUCGAGCGAACAGACGAGGAGCUUGCUCCUCUGACGUUAGCGGCGGACGGGUGAGUAACACGUGGAUAACCUACCUAUAAGACUGGGAUAACUUCGGGAAACCGGAGCUAAUACCGGAUAAUAUAUUGAACCGCAUGGUUCAAUAGUGAAAGACGGUUUUGCUGUCACUUAUAGAUGGAUCCGCGCCGCAUUAGCUAGUUGGUAAGGUGACGGCUUACCAAGGCAACGAUGCGUAGCCGACCUGAGAGGGUGAUCGGCCACACUGGAACUGAGACACGGUCCAGACUCCUACGGGAGGCAGCAGUAGGGAAUCUUCCGCAAUGGGCGAAAGCCUGACGGAGCAACGCCGCGUGAAUGAUGAAGGUCUUCGGAUCGUAAAACUCUGUUAUUAGGGAAGAACAAAUGUGUAAGUAACUAUGCACGUCUUGACGGUACCUAAUCAGAAAGCCACGGCUAACUACGUGCCAGCAGCCGCGGUAAUACGUAGGUGGCAAGCGUUAUCCGGAAUUAUUGGGCGUAAAGCGCGCGUAGGCGGUUUUUUAAGUCUGAUGUGAAAGCCCACGGCUCAACCGUGGAGGGUCAUUGGA
rnacentral:rRNA from 1 species